rnacentral:rRNA from 1 species
AUUGAACGCUGGCGGCAGGCCUAACACAUGCAAGUCGAGCGGAGCGGCGGACGGGUGAGUAAUGCCUAGGAAUCUGCCUGGUAGUGGGGGAUCACGUCCGGAAACGGGCGCUAAUACCGCAUAAUAUCAGCUGAGCCUAGGUCGGAUUAGCUAGUUGGGGGGGUUAAGGCGUACCAAGGCGACGAUCCGUAACUGGUCUGAGAGGAUGAUCAGUCACCCUGGAACUGAGACACGGUCCCGACGCCUACGGGAGGCAGCAGUGGGGAAUGUUCCGCAAGGGACGAAAGUGUGACGGGGCAACGCCGCGGGAGUGAGGACGGCCUUCGGGUUGUAAAGCUCUGUUAAUCGGGACGCGGUACCGGAAGAGAAAGCCACGGCUAACUACGUGCCAGCAGCCGCGGUAAUAC